rnacentral:rRNA from 1 species
UCCUACGGGGGGCAGCAGUGAGGAAUAUUGGUCAAUGGGCGCGAGCCUGAACCAGCCAAGUAGCGUGAAGGAUGACUGCCCUACGGGUUGUAAACUUCUUUUAUAAAGGAAUAAAGUGAGGCACGUGUGCCUUUUUGUAUGUACUUUAUGAAUAAGGAUCGGCUAGCUCCGUGCCAGCAGCCGCGGUAAUACGGAGGAUCCGAGCGUUAUCCGGAUUUAUUGGGUUUAGAGGGUGCGUAGGCGGUCCGUUAAGUCAGCGGUAAAAUUGCGGGGCUCAACCCCGUCGAGCCGUUGAAACUGGCAGG